AACCCCUACGUUUAGUUGCUAACGCGUGAAGGCGAGCACUCUAGACGAACUGCCGUUGGACAAAACGGAGGAAGUGGGAUGACGUCAAAUCAUCAUGCCCUUAUGUUCUGGGCUACACACGUGCUACAAUGGCCGGUACAGACGGACGCAAAGCCGCGAGGUGGAGCAAAUCCUAAAAAGCCGGUCUCAGUUCGGAUUGCAGGCUGCAAUUCGCCUGCAUGAAGUCGGAAUCGCUAGUAAUCGCAGGUCAGCAUACUGCGGUGAAUACGGUUCCCGGGCCUU
rnacentral:rRNA from 1 species